CAAUCGGCAUACUUAGUACGGCGAGUGAGCGGUAAAAGCUCAAAUUUGAAAUCUGGUACUUUCAGUGCCCGAGUUGUAAUUUGUAGAAUUUGUCUUUGAUUAGGUCCUUGUCUAUGUUCCUUGGAACAGGACGUCAUAGAGGGUGAGAAUCCCGUUUGGCGAGGAUACCUUUUCUCUGUAAGACUUUUUCGAAGAGUCGAGUUGUUUGGGAAUGCAGCUCAAAGUGGGUGGUAAAUUCCAUCUAAAGCUAAAUAUUGGCGAGAGACCGAUAGCGAACAAGUACAGUGAUGGAAAGAUGAAAAGAACUUUGAAAAGAGAGUGAAAAAGUACGUGAAAUUGUUGAAAGGGAAGGGCAUUUGAUCAGACAUGGUGUUUUUUGCAUGCACUCGCCUCUCGUGGGCUUGGGCCUCUCAAAAAUUUCACUGGGCCAACAUCAAUUCUGGCAGCAGGAUAAAUCAUUAAGAAUGUAGCUACUUCGGUAGUGUUAUAGCUUUUUGGAAUACUGUUAGCCGGGAUUGAGGACUGCGCUUCGGCAAGGAUGUUGGCAUAAUGGUUAAAUGCCGCCCGUCUUGAACACGGAACCA
rnacentral:rRNA from 1 species